UCCGCUGACGACCGGCGCACGGGUGCGUAACGCGUAUGCAACCUACCUUCUACAGGGGGAUAGUCAAUAGAAAUGUUGAAUAAUACCCCAUACGAUCUUUGAAUAGCAUUAUUUAAAGAAGAAAGCUCCGGCGGUAGAAGAUGGGCAUGCGUCCUAUUAGUUAGUUGGUAAGGUAACGGCUUACCAAGACUUCGAUAGGUAGGGGUCCUGAGAGGGAGACCCCCCACACUGGUACUGAGACACGGACCAGACUCCUACGGGAGGCAGCAGUGAGGAAUAUUGGACAAUGGAGGCAACUCUGAUCCAGCCAUGCCGCGUGCAGGAAGACUGCCCUAUGGGUUGUAAACUGCUUUUAUACAGGAAGAAAUAUGCCUACGUGUAGGUAUUUGACGGUACUGUACGAAUAAGGAUCGGCUAACUCCGUGCCAGCAGCCGCGGUAAUACGGAGGAUCCAAGCGUUAUCCGGAAUCAUUGGGUUUAAAGGGUCCGUAGGCGGUCUUUUAAGUCAGAGGUGAAAUCCUACAGCUCAACUGUA
rnacentral:rRNA from 1 species